GAUGAACGCUAGCGGCAGGCCUAACACAUGCAAGUCGAGGGGCAUCACAGUCUAGUUCGCUAGACGGGUGGCGACCGGCGCACGGGUGCGUAACGCGUAUGUAACCUACCAUUGACAGGGGGAUAGUCAGAGGAAACUUUGAAUAAUACCGCAUAACAUAUAUAAGAGGCAUCUUUUGUAUAUCAAAAUUACGAUGGUCAAUGAUGGGCAUGCGUUUGAUUAGAUAGUUGGUAAGGUAACGGCUUACCAAGUCGACGAUCAAUAGGGGUCCUGAGAGGAUAAUCCCCCACACUGGUACUGAGAUACGGACCAGACUCCUACGGGAGGCAGCAGUGAGGAAUAUUGGGCAAUGGACGGAAGUCUGACCCAGCCAUGCCGCGUGCAGGAAGACGGCCCUAUGGGUUGUAAACUGCUUUUGUAUGAGGGUAAACGCAGAUACGAGUAUCUGUCUGAAAGUAUCAUACGAAUAAGGAUCGGCUAACU
rnacentral:rRNA from 1 species